AAUCAAUGAACUUGUAAUAAGUAUAUGCCUUGAAAGCAUAAAAAAGAGGUAAACUCCUCUAUUGAUUU
rnacentral:tRNA from 1 species